AAGAAAUGGCAACAACUUUAGUUAGUUGUUGCUAUAUCAUAGACCUUUUAGCCACAAUUUUUUUUUUUGUUGGCAAAUAUUUAAAUUUUGUUGCCAUAUUUUAUAAUUAAUAUAAUGAAUAAAAAUAAAAAUAAAUUGACAACAACUUUUUAGCAACCACCAUGGUACUGUUGGCUAAAGUUAGUAAAUGGCAACAACUUUAUUUCAGUUGUUGCCAUAUCGUCAAGCUUUUAACAACGAUUUUUCCUUGUUACCAAGCAAUUUAGAUUUUUGUUGCCAUAACUUACAGUUAAUAUAAUUAACUUAAAAUAUAAAUAGAAUUGGCAACAACAAAAUUUUAUUGUUGGUAAUACUAUUAAUUUUCUCAACAACUUAAGUGCAGUGUGGCCUAAAUUUUUUAUUUUUCCGCCAAAACCAAACGCGGCAAACUUUUUUUCCCUAAAAUCCUUAGCGCUCUUUUCUAGUUUUUAUUCUACCCAGGUUUUCUUUUUCUAUUGUUGAAACUGAAUCCUAAAAUCCUUAGCGCUCUUUUCCAGUUUUUAUUCUACCCAAAUUUUCUUUUUUCUAUUGUUGAAACUAAAUCUUUCUCUGUUGGGUUUUGUUGCUGCUCAAAGAAAAAAGUUGAUAAGUUGAAAGAAAUUGUUGCUGAACAAAUUCAAGAUGUUGAAGAGGAUACUGAUGUAGAUCCUAUUAUUAAUGCUGCAUUUGUGAGAAUUAUGGGAGAAACGUCAGGGUAUUGUCGUGGUCAAGGAUCGGGAAUUAAGCGAACAGGUAGGAGAUAUAUGAAUGGAGUUCUAGAGCAAUUACAGGCACAACAAAAAGAGGUAGAAGAAGAACGUCGUAAACGAGAGAGUGUAGAAUGCAAGCUAACUGAAGUAAAAAAUCAGCUAGAAGAGGAGCGAAAAAAUCGAGAAGUCAUGGAAGCUCAUCUGGUACGUGACCAGAAAAUGUUAAAAGGAGGAAUCAUGGCACUAGUAUCUCAUCUGCAAAGUUCCAAGGGUGAACGUGUUUAAACCAGCAUUGAUAGCAAUAUGAUUCAUGUCAGGCACAAGCUAUCGGAGGAAUAUUUACUUUUGAAUUAGAACUUAAUGACCUUGUUUAUAUGAUGUUUUGGUUCUUUUUGUAAUUAGUAAAACAUACUUUUUUGGAAUAUUCAGUUGUUUACUCUAGUGCACUAGUUCUAUGUA